rnacentral:rRNA from 1 species
UACGUAGGGGGCAAGCGUUGUCCGGAAUCAUUGGGCGUAAAGAGCGUGUAGGCGGUUCGGUAAGUCGGCUGUGAAAGUCCAGGGCUCAACCCCUGGGAUGCCGGUCGAUACUGCCGGACUAGAGUUCGGAAGAGGCGAGUGGAAUUCCCGGUGUAGCGGUGAAAUGCGCAGAUAUCGGGAGGAACACCUAUGGCGAAGGCAGCUCGCUGGGACGUUACUGACGCUGAGAACGCGAAAGCAUGGGGGAGCAAACAAGG